UUCGUUCGGUUUUAAAUGACAAGGUUUCGUCCUUACCCCUUUUGGUUUUAAUUCCUUUUUGCAGGAUAGCUGCAAUAAAUUCGUCGUUCCUCAUGAUGUUAUGAAGUUCUCCGAAGGAAACAUAUUGUCUAAAAUUGAUGUCCACAAUCCAGUGUUUGACUACAUACCGCCAGAUUUAGUAAACCUUUGCAUUUCAAACAUUGGUGGUUAUUCUCCGUCUUACGUGUAUCGACUUGUCAGUGAGCUAUAUCAUGCAGAUGACAACUGCUUAUGACAAGGCCAGUAGUGGCUGCGCCCAUGUACACGACUAUUCUCACAGAAGCACACUUUCACACACGACUCCUGUUU
rnacentral:misc_RNA from 1 species